rnacentral:rRNA from 1 species
GGAGUUAGCCGGUGCUUCUUCUGUGAGUGAUGUCCUUCCUGCCGGCUAUUAACCCGCAGGCCUUCUUCCUCACUGAAAGUGCUUUACAACCCGAAGGCCUUCUUCACACACGCGGCAUGGCUGGAUCAGGGUUGCCCCCCAUUGUCCAAUAUUCCCCACUGCUGCCUCCCGUAGGAGUCUGGGCCGUGUCUCAGUCCCAGUGUGGCUGAUCAUCCUCUCAGACCAGCUACGGAUCGUCGCCUUGGUGAGCCGUUACCUCACCAACCAGCUAAUCCGACAUAGGCUCAUCCGAUAGCGCGAGGCCCGAAGGUCCCCCGCUUUCCCCCGUAGGGCGUAUGCGGUAUUAGCCUGGGUUUCCCCAGGUUAUCCCCCACUACCGGGCAGAUUCCUAUGCAUUACUCACCCGUCCGCCGCUCGCCACCAGGGAGCAAGCUCCCCGUGCUGCCGCUCGACUUGCAUGUGUUAGGCCUGCCGCCAGCGUUCAAUCUGAGCCAGAAUCAAACUCUGA